rnacentral:rRNA from 1 species
AACGAACGCUGGCGGCAGGCCUAACACAUGCAAGUCGAACGCUCCGCAAGGGGAGUGGCGCACGGGUGAGUAACACGUGGGAACCUACCUUCUGGUACGGAACAACCAAGGGAAACUUUGGCUAAGACCGUAUACGACCUCCGGGUGAAAGAUUGAUCGCCGGAAGAGGGGCCCGCGUCCGAUUAGGUAGUUGGUGAGGUAACGGCUCACCAAGCCUUCGAUCGGUAGCUGGUCUGAGAGGAUGACCAGCCACACUGGGACUGAGACACGGCCCACGACUCCCACGGGAGGCAGCAGUGGGGAAUAUUGGACAAUGGGCGCAAGCCUGAUCCAGCCAUGCCGCGUGAGUGAUGAAGGCCUUCGGUU